rnacentral:misc_RNA from 1 species
UGGACCGUUGGAUUGGAGACAUCUUGACGGUUGAGAAUAAAUGCUUUGUAAAGAGACGGAUCGUGAUGUUGCAAGGAUAAUAGGAUAUGGAUGGGAAUGAGAUGGGGUUUCAACUUUCAAGUGUGUUUUUGAGCUGAUUUUUAACGGACGUAAAUUAGGCUGUGGUUAAUGGAUUUUAAUGAGAUUUGAAUGGUUUUUUAGAUUAGGACGUAAGCUUUCUAAUGAGUGUUUAUUCAG